rnacentral:rRNA from 1 species
CAGCCGCCGCGGGAAUACGUAGGGUGCAAGCGUUAAUCGGAAUUACUGGGCGUAAAGCGUGCGCAGGCGGUUUUGUAAGACAGAGGUGAAAUCCCCGGGCUCAACCUGGGAACUGCCUUUGUGACUGCAAGGCUGGAGUGCGGCAGAGGGGGAUGGAAUUCCGCGUGUAGCAGUGAAAUGCGUAGAUAUGCGGAGGAACACCGAUGGCGAAGGCAAUCCCCUGGGCCUGCACUGACGCUCAUGCACGAAAGCGUGGGGAGCAGACAGGAUUAGAUACCCCCGUAGUCCCUGUCUCUUAUAC